UUUGGUGGUACGACAUUGCGU
rnacentral:misc_RNA from 1 species